GAACAGCUAAGAAAGACAAGGGCGACGCACCCAACAGAACCGGAUAUUUCAUUAACGUUGAAAGCUUCAAUUAAAUUGGCCCCGAAGAUCAGCACAUGCACACGGCUUCUGAGAAAAUGUUCGCGACGACGUCCUCAUCGAUGGAAAAUCUUGCACCGGUGGUGGCGGUCGGGGAGCAGUUCUGUGUUCCUCACGUCGUCGACCUCACCAUCACCGGCAAGGCCUUCAGAGAUCACGUAACCGUGACUGACACGAGUGGCGAUGUGGUGUUCACGGUUGAGACCGUCGUCUCGUUAUUCAGCCACAAACUCCUCCUCUUGGACGCCGCGGGCCAUACCUUGCUCACCAUCAAAGCGAAGGGGAUUACUUGGAAGGUUUAUCGAGGAGAGAGCAAGAUGAAAAAGAUUUGUUGUUCAAAGUAAAGAGCAGGAUUCGUCUGAUUAAUAUUAAUAUGGAGUUCGAUGUGACGAUGUCAAUCAACAACUUCAGUGAUGGUUGUGAUUAUAAGAUGAAGGCUAAGGGUUUAUCUAGCUCGCCAAGCAACAUUUAUAUUGGCGAAUCCAACAGCAUUAUAGCACAAAGCAUUCGGGCGAACAAAUUGUUUGGACGCAAAAUCCAGGCGAGAGUGAAUCCGAAUGUGGAUUAUGCCUUCAUUGUAGCGCUUAUUGUAAUUAGUGAAGAUUACUAUUCAGGUUCAUAGGUUAGAGACUUAGAGGCAGGGCUGUGCCACUGUGGCAGAUAAAAAUGAGUUGAGACUAUAGU